rnacentral:rRNA from 1 species
CUACGGGUUGCAGCAGUGAGGAAUAUUGCACAAUGGGGGGAACCCUGAUGCAGCAACGCCGCGUGGAGGAUGACGCAUUUCGGUGUGUAAACUCCUUUUAUAUGUCAAGAAAAUGACGGUAGCAUAUGAAUAAGCACCGGCUAACUCCGUGCCAGCAGCCGCGGUAAUACGGAGGGUGCAAGCGUUACUCGGAAUCACUGGGCGUAAAGGACGCGUAGGCGGGGUGGAAAGUCAGGUGUGAAAUCCUACAGCUUAACUGUAGAACUGCACUUGAAACUUCUAAUCUAGAGUAUGGGAGGGGGAGAUGGAAUUAGUGGUGUAGGGGUAAAAUCCGUAGAUAUCACUAGGAAUACCUAAAGCGAAGGCGAUCUCCUGGAACAUUACUGACUCUAAGGCGUGAAAGCGUGGGGAGCAAACAGGAUUAGAUACCCCAGUAGUC